AAGGAAACGCCAAGAACAAAUGUACGUUUCUCGAGAGACGGUAAGGACAACAGAAGCAACCUAUUUUCAUAGGGGAGAAGAGAGGCCCCAACCCAAAUUACUAAGGGCAAACAGCAAGAAUUGCUUUUGAACAGAUUCAGUUGAAUGUACAUAGUACCUAGACGAAGGAGACCAACUCGAGUAUAGCUCUAACCAAACACAUGUACAGCCUUUUCGUAAUGUAAGGAUCAUUAAGGUCUCUGGACCACCGCUUUAUAAAACCAAGCGCGGACCUAUCUUCCUAGAACCUGCAGAUGAAUCACUCUUCGCUGUUACGGAAUUGGGAGUUGCUUUUCCAGAGCCUCUUCCAUAAUAACUACUUUAAGCUGCUUGGAUAUGAAGUGGUAACAAAUUCCAUAAUUUUACAGCCUGAACAAAGGAUAGCCCUGUUGACAUGUUUAGUUUGGUGUAGUUUAGAUUAUCACUUAAUAAUAACUUUUCUUUGGCGCAAAAAUCCACGUACCGAAAAACGUAAAAGAUAGCUGUCUGCUGCUAGUUACUUAUGUAAACAAAGUUUAGGAAAAAUGGUGAGCCGAGAAUGACGAAGCUGAACAAAUGAAAAUAUAAGAAUUAACAUAAUAUUUAGUGUUAAAUGGGAAUAAGUGGGAGAAAAAACAGAGUAAGUUGGGAAAAACAUACCACCACUUAUUUUUAAAUGAGAAUAAUUGGUGGGCGAAAACAUAUAACUUACUGUUAAAUGACUCUUUUUAGAGGUAAUAGACGGAAUCAUAAUUAUUGUCCCAUUAAAGCUACAUUCACUUUGCCACAUUUUUACACAAAUUAUAAAUACGUUCAAGAUCUUUGGAAUAAUGGAAAUAACAAGUUGCGGAUUGACACUACGUUAACUAAUGACUUUUUCUUGGCACGACUGAUUGAUAGAGAAAACGUCGUCCUCAUUCACGAGAAUGGCACAUUUCCUCGGUAAAUGUUUACCUGUUAUCAACCUCGCAGGUUCGUUUAAAUCUUUUCGUGUAAAUAAACUUUUUUUUUUAGUAUGCAACGUCUUCAUUUUUUCAAAUUAUAUUGAUUUUUAAAAUAAUAAUUAAAAAUUAUAAUAAUCUCCGUUGCAAAUUUUUCAAACUUUCAAAUAUUUAUUUCUCGCGUUAAUGGGAAGAACACUUUCAGUGUAUUUCGGAGAUUUGCGAAGUUGCAAAAUUUGUAUUUCAUUUUAUUGUCAGAAUUUCCAAUUUUUAGUUUAUAGACAGGAUUAGGAGCGAUGAAAGCUCGAAAGGUUAAAAUAAUUCCCAUGCUUUCCAAUAAUUCAUCAUCGUCAAUAUUUGUAUUAUCAUCGGAGAUUUUAUCAAAAAAAAAGAUUUUCUUUAAACACCUUUAAAUUUUUAUUGGUUUUAACAGAAAAUGACGGAGUUUCUUGAUUUGGGUGAUGAUUUAACAUAAAAUUUCUGAUGGUUUAAAACUGAAUAUAUUCCACUAUUGGUAUCUUCAGAGCUAAGUGCAUUUUUUUACUUUCUAUUACUUCUUUAAAGAAACAAUGGGAUUUGGCGGAAUUUGUUAGAAUUGAACUUUUCAAUAUAAAGACUUCGAACGUUUCAAUUAUUCAUAUUGCAAAAACCUAGGUUUUUUGUCAUUUAACGUACUUAUAGCAAAAUAGUAGUAUUCUAAAAAUAAAGUAUCAUGUCUUGUGAAUAGAAAGAGAACAAAGUUGCUUUCAGUAAAUUGUGAAAAAGCACCGUACCCGUUCAGUUAAAUGAGUCAAUGGUGCAAAAACAUCAUAGAAGUUAUUAGAAGUUAAAUUACCUGCUAAAGAUGUUCAAAUAUAUUUAAGUAUUUUCAGCUUUAAACCGCAAAUACCCAAUUAAAACUGUUCAACAAUGGUGAAAGAGAUUGGCAACUGAUAGGAUCUAGAGAGCAUAGACGAAUACUUUCAAGUGGAACGCUAGUUACCUAUCCUAUUGGGUAAGGAGCAAUUUUCGGGAUUAUAUUUAAGUGCAGGUGUGUAGCCAGUUUCGCCAGUAUUUUGUAAAAGUCUGUAACUGCUCAAGGCGAUCUUUUGCUAGGAGCGUUAGGUGCGAUAAUGGCGAUUUUAGCUUACGUAUGUGCUUCUGAUAUCCUACUGAGCAUAUUAUUCCUUUCGGCUGGCGCAGCCAUUAAAGUUAUAAUGGGCAUAGACUUCGCCGGAUGUAUUUUCGGAUUUUUCAAUCAAUGGUGGUGGUCUUCUUGAGCCCGUAUGUUAUACUUUUAUACGUAUUUCGAUUCGUACUUCGCAAUGGAAGUGAGUGUGUUUUAAUUUUAGACCGAUGUCAAAUGUAAUACCGGCACUACAUUCGACGGCACCAAAGGUUUCAGUUAUCAAGAUUCUAUUACAACCACAACAUAAAGCUCAUCCGAGAAGAAAUUGGAAAUGAUAAAGAAGACACGACAACGUUAUCAAAUUAAGGUACGUGUAGCAUAAACUUGAGCGUAUUUUUUUUUCAAUUCAAUUCGCCAUAUUGAUAUGAUAUUCAAAGUUAUUUAUGAGACUUUUUUUUCUAAAAAUUGAAUAAAAAAUAAUAUACUUUAUAUCAACUAAUUUCUCCUCGUUUAAGAAAUAUAUGGAGUUAUAUAAUGUAGCGUUCAAAAAGCGAUAUUGUCUUACUUCCUACUUGUUCUAUAUCUUGAGAAAAGAAUUCAUAUGCAAUAUUUUUCCCAGACUUUCCUCUUAAGAGACGUAGACAAUAUAAAAAAAUUGCAUACUCAUGUCGAUUUAGCACGAAAAAGUUUACGAAUAUACGAUAUUAGAAAAAAAACCUGAUAAGCCUUGAUUUCACUUUGUACAGUGAUAUUUAAUCCGCAAGUCUUCGGCAUACUUUUAAAGCCAGAAAGUACAUUUUGA